rnacentral:tRNA from 1 species
UUAGCUGAAACCAAAGAAAGAGGUAUAUUAUUGUUAAUAAUAAAAUUGAAUUAAUGAUUCCAGCUAAG